UGAGACACGGUCCAAACUCCUACGGGAGGCAGCAGUGAGGAAUAUUGGUCAAUGGACGAGAGUCUGAACCAGCCAAGUAGCGUGAAGGAUGACUGCCCUAUGGGUUGUAAACUUCUUUUAUAAAGGAAUAAAGUCGGGUAUGGAUACCCGUUUGCAUGUACUUUAUGAAUAAGGAUCGGCUAACUCCGUGCCAGCAGCCGCGGUAAUACGGAGGAUCCGAGCGUUAUCCGGAUUUAUUGGGUUUAAAGGGAGCGUAGAUGGAUGUUUAAGUCAGUUGUGAAAGUUUGCGGCUCAACCGUAAAAUUGCAGUUGAUACUGGAUAUCUUGAGUGCAGUUGAGGCAGGCGGAAUUCGUGGUGUAGCGGUGAAAUGCUUAGAUAUCACGAAGAACUCCGAUUGCGAAGGCAGCUCACUGGAGUGUAACUGACGCUGAUGCUCGAAAGUGUGGGUAUCAAACAGGAUUAGAUACCCUGGUAGUCCACACGGUAAACGAUGAAUACUCGCUGUUUGCGAUAUACAGCAAGCGGCCAAGCGAAAGCGUUAAGUAUUCCACCUGGGGAGUACGCCGGCAACGGUGAAACUCAAAGGAAUUGACGGGGGCCCGCACAAGCGGAGGAACAUGUGGUUUAAUUCGAUGAUACGCGAGGAACCUUACCCGGGCUUGAAUUGCAGAGGAAGGAUUUGGAGACAAUGACGCCCUUCGGGGCCUCUGUGAAGGUGCUGCAUGGUUGUCGUCAGCUCGUGCCGUGAGGUGUCGGCUUAAGUGCCAUAACGAGCGCAACCCCUCUCCUUAGUUGCCAUCAGGUUAAGCUGGGCACUCUGGGGACACUGCCACCGUAAGGUGUGAGGAAGGUGGGGAUGACGUCAAAUCAGCACGGCCCUUACGUCCGGGGCUACACACGUGUUACAAUGGGGGGUACAGAGGGCCGCUACCACGCGAGUGGAUGCCAAUCCCCAAAACCUCUCUCAGUUCGGACUGGAGUCUGCAACCCGACUCCACGAAGCUGGAUUCGCUAGUAAUCGCGCAUCAGCCACGGCGCGGUGAAUACGUUCCCGGGCCUUGUACACACCGCCCGUCAAGCCAUGGGAGCCGGGGGUACCUGAAGUGCGUAACCGCGAGGAGCGCCCUAGGGUAAAACUGGUGACUGGGGCUAAGUCGUAACAAGGUAGCCGUACCGGAAGGUGCGGCUG
rnacentral:rRNA from 1 species